CAAACUUAGCAAUCUUGUUUUGGAAAGUAAAAACACUUAGGUAAUGUUUAAGGGACAAUAUGUCCACGUGGGUCCCAUGUGGGGAAAGAUCAUUUUUUAUGUGUAAUUAUAAGUAUAGAUAAAUGUGGCUUUUGGGGAGUGACCUUGUUAAAUUAUAAUAGUGACUAAUUAAUCAAAUGAGUAGCUAGUGAAGUGGUAGGAGUCCACGUGUAUUAUUUUUAUUCACAUGGAAAGCUUCUAAUAAAUCCACAUGGUAUGCUAACGUGUCCCUAUAGGAUACAAUGAGCCAAAAGUUAGGCCAGUAAUUUGUUUACAUAGUGGAAGGUUAACAUUGAAAGGACCAAACAUUUUCAGCAACUUUCCACUUCAUUUUCUAUUUCAAGAAUCAAUGUUCAUCUUUAGAAGAGUGCAAAACGUUGCUAUCAAUUCUUAUGCACUUUGAAUAAGCAAAUUGAUAGAAGUUGCUUACGGUUGUAGCUCAUCUGGAGCCCUCGGCUAAGCGCCAUUUUUUUUUAAAGAAAGAUUAUAAUUUCCAGCAAGAAUUUUAAGAGGUCAAGCUUGCUAGUAAGGUUUUUCUUCCAGUUGUUGAGACCUGCGAGCUCGAGAAGUAGACGUUGGACAUUAGAUAGAGUUCAAGGUAGACAGGGAGGUGAGCUUGAUCCAGAUUCUUAGUAGCUGUCAGCUGAUUGAGAGAACUCUAUUGUUCGGAGGUGCUUAUGUUUAUUCUUUUGGUUCAUAUAUGUAUUUUGCGCACGACGGAGUCUUGUUUCGUCUAUAUGUAUAAUAUGUUAGUAGAGGCUCGUAGACGCGCAGUGUGGGUUAGAUGGUCUCACAAGAUUACUAUGUUAUACUUGUAUAUGUUAUUUUGAUAGCCUAAGGGGCGCAUGUAUAUAAAAUCAUUUGUGUUUUUUUUUAAAAUGAAAAAUGGUUGUCUUAUGAUUAUGAGAUUAUGAAUGAUAAAGAAAUGUAAAAAGGUUAUGACGAGUGAGGAAAC